AGCUACACUCAGAGCUGCAGCCGCUGUUAAAAAGAGUCUACUGGCGUAAAAAUUGGUUCGGCGUAAUAUAAUCGAAGCCAUGCGUCGACUCGAUAAAUCUUUAGACUUUCUGAAAAUACAAAAUUCAAUUGUUCAGCGGACAAAUCACAACAUAGAAUAUUGGGUUGUGUAAAGAACACUUCGCGUUAUCGUCCGUGGGGUCUGGGACCCACUAGUUGGACGUUGGAGCUUGAGAGGAAGUUUGGGGCGUAUGGUUGGUUAAGGAUCAGACGCGUAGAGAAGCUAAAUCAGGACUUUCUGUAAGAAUUAAACCGAAGUUACAAGAAGGAACUAUGAAAAAGUUGGGUCAUGACUGAACAUCGAGCACAGACCACCACUUUUCCGUACCUCGUUGAUGCAGCUAAGAUCCUUCCUAAUUCGCUUUCUACUUCUGUGUGAUGAGAUCACUAUGGCAGUUGGGGAUCAGCUGUGAAAAAGAGUGCGCGAAUGACGAUCCUUCUCACUGCCCUGGCUUUCCAAGAAGUGAGGCAACUUUCUUGAAACCUUCAUAUCAUUUCAGACUUGUAGGAUUGAUUGUCCCUGCUCAAUUCCCGAAUUGAACCGUAAUAUUACAAGAGGCAAACGAUGAAAAACUGGUGUCAUUAACGGGGAUCAAGCACAGACCCCGGUUCCAGACAGAGUGAAUAAAAAUGUACUCUAUUUCAGUCCCUUCCGGUUAGAUAGUAUGUAAAUGGUGACAUGGUGUUCCAGACAAAAAAAAGAGCCAAAAAAAAUACCGACACGUACCUAUUAGGAUAAAAUAAUUACUGUUUAUUUAAUAAGCAUAAUCAUACAGGCAUUUUAAUGUGUUCUCACUUAUGAACUACAUCGAUGAAGUCACAACAGCAACAAAAUC